AUUGAACGCUGGCGGCAGGCCUAACACAUGCAAGUCGAGCGGCGCAGCGGACGGGGGAGUAAGGGCUAGGAAUCGGCAAGGUCGUGGGGGAGAAGGUCAGCAAACGGGCGCUAAUACCGCAUACUAUUGCCUGAGCCUAUGUCGGAUUAGCUAGUGGGUGGGGUAGAGGGAUAGAAAGGCGACGACCCGUAACUGGUCUGAGAGGAUGAUCAGUCACAAUGUAACUGAGACACGGUCCAGACUCCUACGGGAGGCAGCAGUGGGGAAUAUUGGACAAUGGGCGAAAGCCUGAUCCAGCCAUGCCGCGUGUAUGAAGAAGGUCUUCGGGUUGUAGAGCACUUUAAGGUGGGAGGCGUUACCAGCAGAAUAAGCACCGGCUAACUCCGUGCCAGCAGCCGCGGUAAUUC
rnacentral:rRNA from 1 species